rnacentral:rRNA from 1 species
UACGGAGGGGACUAGCGUUGUUCGGAAUUACUGGGCGUAAAGCGUGCGCAGGCGGUUCGUUGUGUCGGUGGUGAAAUCCCCGGGCUUAACCUGGGAAUGGCCAUGGAAACUGGCGAACUGGAGUGCGGCAGAGGGGGGUGGAAUUCCGCGUGUAGCAGUGAAAUGCGUAGAGAUGCGGAGGAACACCGAUGGCGAAGGCAGCCCCCUGGGCUAGCACUGACGCUCAGGCACGAAAGCGUGGGGAGCAAACAGG